rnacentral:rRNA from 1 species
UACAGAGGUCCCAAGCGUUGUUCGGAUUCACUGGGCGUAAAGGGCGCGUAGGCGGCCGUUCAAGUCGGGGGUGAAAGCCUGUGGCUCAACCACAGAAUUGCCUUCGAUACUGGACGGCUCGAGACCGGAAGAGGUCAGUGGAACUGCGAGUGUAGAGGUGAAAUUCGUAGAUAUUCGCAAGAACACCAGUGGCGAAGGCGGCUGACUGGUCCGGUUCUGACGCUGAGGCGCGAAAGCGUGGGGAGCAAACAGG